AUUGAACGCUGGCGGCAGGCCUAACACAUGCAAGUCGAGCGAGCGGCGGGCGGGUGAGUAAUGUCUGGGAAACUGCCUGAUGGAGGGGGAUAACUACUGGAAACGGUAGCUAAUAACGCAUACCAUCGGAUGUGCCCAGAUGGGAUUAGCGAGUAGGUGGGGUAACGGCUCACCUAGGCGACGAUCCCUAGCUGGUCUGAGAGGAUGACCAGCAACCAGGGAACGGGGACACGGUCAGAACUCCUCCGGGAGGCAGCAUUGGGGAAUAUUGCACAAUGGGCGCAAGCCUGAUGCAGCCAGGCCGCGUGUAGGAAGAAGGCCUUCGGGUUGUAAAGUACUUUCAGCGGGGAGGCGUUACCCGCAGAAGAAGCACCGGCUAACUCCGUGCCAGCAGCCGCGGUAAUAC
rnacentral:rRNA from 1 species